UUUUCUGAGAGUGAGUGAAUAGGGAAAUAUUAACUGUAUUGACAGGCUCGCGGGAGCUGCUAAUAUCUUGCAGCCAAUUUUGUAGAGCCACGGAAAACGGUCUUUGUUAAUUGACCACCACUGCAGAAUAUCAAAAUCCUCACUGUAAGCUUUAUUAACAUUUUUAUACGUUUGAAUUUCAUCUUCAAUAUAGGAUAUAAUGUUAGUGCUCUGAAUAGGUUGGGAAUAAUCUGCAAAAAUAUUAUCUAUUUCCUGUGUGGGUUUAAUUAAUUUUUCAAUAUCAUCAUAUUGGCUAUUUAUAUUAAUAGCUAUCAUCAUUUCUUCAAUGUCUUUGACAACCUGUUCCUUUUCUAAAUCUGUGAAUUUUGUCAAUUUAUUUGUGGGUGGAAAUAAAAAUAGGGCGAUGUUAUGAAAUUUUUUUAAAUUGGCAUGAACUAUGGAAUCUAAAUAUUUUAGAAGUGAAAACUUGCAUUUUUGUACAAUUUCGAUGUCAUUGUGGAGUGGCUAUUUUUUAGGUUAUUAAUGUGUGGAAUAGUCAAAUGGAUAAUUGCUAGCCUCCAGCUUUUUCAAACAAGCUUCAAAAGGAACAAGAAUUUUCACCAGUCCGCUAAUGUUAUUUAAAUUAAUAUCUUGAAUUCUUGCUAUUUCUUUAUUUUUCAUCACAAUCUGUGAAAUUUCCAUCCAGUUUAACUCGACCGACUUAAAUAGGUUAAGAAUCGUAUUCCAACGAGUUGGACAGUAGCUUUUUAGGGUUAUUGUCAAUGUCGUGUUUUGACCAGUUUUUUUUUAAGUACUUAAAAAGCUUGCUGCAACGGUUAACUAGAUCCAGAUCGGAUACCUCAUUUACAACUUUGCAUAUCACAUUGUGGACCAAGUGGUUUACACAGUGUAAUGUGCUCAGUUCGUUGAAAGCGGCUUUCAUAUUGGCUCCUCGGUCAGUACCAAUGAUUGGAUCAUCCAUCAGCAAAUCACAUCCAAAGUCGCGUAAAAUUCUAUUAAUUUUGUUUUUAAUUUCAUUGCCUAAGAUAUAUUGAUAUAAAAAACAGAUUCCAAUAUAACCAAUAACAUUUUAUACCUCUUACUGGUGCACGAGACUCUACCCAUUGAUUUUACUGCUAGCAGGCGGUUUUUAAGUGUGCCUUCUUUGAAGUAAUGUAUCGUCAGUGAUAUGUAGGAUUCUUUGAAGAAGUCGUCCGUCCAUAUAUCCGAAGUGAUACUAUAUCCAUAUUUUUUGUGCUCUUGAAUGUCGGAUUUCAAUUCAUUAAAAUGAAAAUCGUUUACAUUUCCUCCCAGUUUCGCACCAAGAGAAAUAAAAAACUGGGCCAAGUUUUUUAAUCCCGUAUCCGCAAUUAUAUUGAAUGUUCGACCAUUCUUUACUAUCCACUCCGUUGCUAGUUUGAUACAUUUCUUUUUUGUUUCAAUAUCAACAUCAACGGCAGGAAGACUGCGCACACUCGUUUACGUUUUUUGAACUCCUUAGCUCGAAUUUCUAUUCAUCGGACCAAAUUAUUUUAUCCCAGAAAGUGGUUGGCAUAUUUAUAUACUGUUUUGCAAAUGCCAGUCUUUCUUUCCUAUUCGCUAUGGAAAUCAUAGGUCGUUUUUUGCGACAUAAUUUUUCAAGCCAUAUGUUCGCAGUUUUCUUUGCAUUGUACUAACUGAAACAUCUAAAUCAUAGUGUCCUUCAAAACAGAGUCAGAUGACCUUUCUUUAUUGAAUUCAAAAUGCGACUGCCCGCUUAGGCCGCGGCCACGUAGUAAACGACUGAGCGAUGAGCGGCUGAUCGACGAUUUUGAGCGACGUAUGGCUUUUUACUGAGCGACUGUUGUUGAGCGAUUAGUUGCUAAAAAGCCGUUGUCAAGGGCUGUACAGCGUAUAUUGCUGCGUGAAAAUUGAUAUCAUGUUUAUAGAAUCUUGCUACGUAUAAAAAAAAGAAAGUAUGGUGUUCAUUCUAUAAACCAAACAAGAUGGAGGUUCGGUGAAUUUAAUCAUUUAUAUCAAAAUCUACGUAAAUUUCCAGAUAGAUUCUUUCAAUAUCUACGUAUGUCUAUACAAUCUUUUGAUAUAUUGCUUGAAAAAGUUCGGCCUAAAUUAACAAAACAGAGGAAAGCAAUUCGUGCAGAGCAGAGGCUCGUUUUGACCUUGAGGUAAGUUAAACAUAAAUUUCAUUUUAUUCAUUUAUUUAAGUUAAACAUAAUAUUUCAUAUAUACUUUACUGUUUGUUCUGAUUAUUGGCAAACGAUGUCCGGUAUUUGUUUAAAAUUACAUUUUGUAUUUCUCCUCUGACUUCUAAUUUUUCAAUAUUGUUAAACUGCCGCAUAAAUGGCAAGAAACUUUUAAAAAACUGAAGAUCAUCAUCAUCUUCUUCCUUCUUUUCUACCUCAGCUUUUAAAAUUUCCAUUCGCUCCUUUUCAAUUUGGAGAAAUUCAGAUUCAAACUCGCUUGUUCUUCCCUUUCUUUUCUUUGUUUUUGGUGGCACAUUUGUAGAGCAACUGGUGGAAACAGAAGUGCUGGUUUCAGGCAUAUCAACAGUUUUAAAAACAGAGUCUUCUUCACUUAGUAGAUCGUUAAUCAAAGUCGAAUAAUUAGGAUUGCAACAUUGAUAUUGCUCUGGUUCCAAAAGAUUCCCAUCCAUAGGAUCCGGAACAACGCUUUUUUUAAUGAAGCUCAUCAAAUCAUAAUAUGGCCACUUAACUUUAACUGGAAGAGCUUCGGAGCCCGAUUUUGCUGGUUGACUCUUUUGCAAAUUUCUCCUGUUUUUAGCUACAGGACAUUCGUUUCGCGAUUUAGCUUUUGCUUUUCGCAUGGGCAGAAGCACAGUCAGUUUAAUUAUUUCAGAAACAUGCGAAAUCAUAUGGAAAGAACUUUUGGAGGAGUAUAUGCCUAUACCAACAACAGACCGCCUUAAAACUAUCAUAAAUGAUUACUACAGGCGUUGGAAAUUUCCGAACUGUUUUGGCAGUAUUGAUGGCAAACACUGUCAAAUUAAGUGUCCGGCAAAUUCUGGGUCCCAUUAUUUUAAUUAUUUGCACUACUUUUCCGUAGUACUGCAAGGUGUAGCAGAUGCUGACAAAAAAUUUGUAACUAUAGAAGUGGAAGGAAGAGGAAAGCAAAGUGAUGGCGGUACUUUUUCUGGAUCAACAUUAUUUCGAUUGCUUGAAGCGGAUAAAUUGAAUGUUCCUCUUCCCCAAGCAUUGCCAAACUCAAAUACUAUUUUACCUAAUUUUCUGAUUGGUGAUGAAGCUUAUCCACUGAAAACAUAUUUGUUAAGACCUUUUCCACGUAGGAAUUUAAAUGCGAAAACAGAAAAUUUUAAUUAUCGACUUUCAAUAGCAAAAAAAUGCAUUGAAUGCGCAUUUGGAAUAUUAACCAGUAAAUGGCGUUUUUUGCAAAAAGCCAUUGAAACAACACCAAGAACAGCUAUUAUUUUAAUUAAAUGUGCUUGUGUACUGCACAAUUUUGUGAGGGAGCGCGAUGGCGAUAGUGAUCUUGAUUACUUACAAACAACAACAACUAUAAACAAUGCUAACGCUCAAACAAAUACCGUUGAUCGAGAACAACAGCAAAACUUCAACAGAAGCAGCCAAACAGCAUUAAAUAUACGUAAUGAAUUAACAGAAUACUUGUGGGAGUUUGGACAUUAAAUUCCACUUAAAAUUUUAAUUUUAUCAUGUUAAUAUGUUAACAAUAAAUUUUUUUUAUGAAUAAAAAAACACUCACCAGAACAACCACAUAUUUCUCCCAGUUUUUUCCAUAUGUUGUCAGUGAUAUUUUUAUUUUUGAAGUCUUUGUGGCUAUCCUGCCACAAAACCGGAUAGCUUUGCACCUCAGAAAUAAGCAUUUCAAUGUUAAAUUUGUCCAUUCUUUCUGUUCGUCGCUCAGCAGUCAACUGAAAAUUAGAACAUGUUUUAAUUGUUAAGCGACGUCGCUCAGUCGCAGAGAAAUCGCUCAGUCGCUUAGUCGCUCAUCGCUUACUGCUUGGCCACUUCAAUGGCAUUUCAUAUGUUUAAAUUUCGUCGCUCAUCGCUCAGCCGCUCAUCGCUCAGUGCGUGGCCGCGCACUUACAUGUUAAAAUGAACUUAUUCAAAGUAAAAUUAAUGGAUGAAUAUACACAGUAGAACAAAUAAAAUGAAUGUGUAUUGCAGUGUUUUUCAAUCUGUGGGUCGCGACCCCUAAGGGGGUUCCAUUUUAAGCAUGCCAUCAGUAGCUAAUUCUAGAAGUCAUUCUUUCAUUUUUGUGUUGACAUCAGCCAGAUCUAUUGAUUUGUCCAAAAAAGGGUUUAAAAUCCAUCUACGCCCAUUGUCAGCUUUAGAGUGCAAGUCUGGAAAGUAUGUCAAAAGUUUCUCUUGUAAAUUAUGCAAGCUUUGUACCAUGCAAGGAAUAUGAGCCGAUACUGCAAAACUUUGGUUUGAUGCAUUAUCUUCAACAAUCUUCUGAACACACGGAAAAGACUCAAACAUUUUGUUUUGCAGAGAGGUCGACCACAAACGAAGUUUUGCGUGAAAUGCUUUUACUUUAUCUUUAGCUGUUAAAAUAUUUUCUUCUCUUCCUUGAAGGUUCUUGUUCAAAUUGUUAAGGUGGCUAAAAAGAUCUGCCAAAAAUGCUAAUUUCAAGAGCCAAAUAGGGUCAGAAAAACGGUGAGCAUAUUCUGAUUUUGCAUCUUGUAAGAACAUUAACAAUUCAGCUCUCAGUUCCAGAACUCUUGUCAAUACCUUUCCUUUGGAUAGCCACCUGACCUCGGUAUGAUAAAGGAGAUUUUGAUGAAGCGAUCCCAUAUCUUCACAAACGAUUCUGAAUAGCCGAGAUUGCAAAGCUUUACCUUUGAUAGAAUUCACAAUUUUUAUUACCUCCUUGAGCACGUCAUUUAAAUCAGAAGGUACUACCUUAGCAGCUAGAGCCUGUCGAUGACAGUGUGUCCAGGAUAUGUUUGGUAUUAUCGAUUUUAAUUUUGCAAUGAGUCCGCUAUUUUUGCCAGUCAUAGCUUUAGCGCCAUCGCUACAAAUAGCGAUACAUUUUUUCCAAUCAAUAUCGUAGUCGCAAGUGCUUUCUAAAAACAUAUCGUACAAACACUGGCCAGUAGUGUUUGCAGGAAGUGCUUUGCAAAAUAAGAUUUCUUCCGUAAUACUGUCAUCUGCUUCAAAGCGCACAAAAUACUACAAACUGUGCACAGUCGGAAACAUCUGUAGAUUCAUCGAACUGCAAAGCAAAAUGUUGGCUAUUCUUUAAUUUUUCGACUACUUGUUCUUGAAUAUCCUUGGCCAUAUCGUUUAUUCUGCGUGAAAUAGUAUUGUCAGAAAGUGGUAUUUUUCUUAAUUUGUUUGCCUCCUGCUUACUGACCAUAAUUUCAACCAUAUCGAGUGCCGCUGGCAAAAUAAGAUUUUCGGCAAUUGUAUGUGGUUUCCCUGCUUUAGCAACUCGAUAUGCGACUUUGUAGCUAGCUAAUAAUGUUGACUCGUUGACACUGGAUGUCUGAAAAUAAACCAAACAAUAUACAAGUGAACAGUCAAUAAAAAUUAAAUUAAUCACCGUACCCAAAAUUAUCAAAAUCACAACUAAAAUUGCUACUGUGAUCACUGAACAGUGAUUGUUACUUUCGAACUGAUAUUAAGGGUAUUCGUUUAAACGUGUAAUGUUACCCAUCGCAUAAAUUUAUGCAAAUACGCAGUGUGUUACAUGAACGCACUUCAAAUUCUUUGUGUAAAUGCCACUUAUUUAUGUAUUAAACAGCUGUUUGGGUGUCAAAAUAUUAAAAUGCCGAAAGUUAGCGAAAAAGCAAAAUUUAUUCAACUUUGCGAAAAAUCACUAGUAUUUGAUUUGUUAAUGUUGGAGCUGUUUGGAAAACAUGACGGUAAUUGUUUUGCGUCAAUGCUACAUUUUUUAAAGGCGCAUAUAUACAUAAAUAUAUAAAUGAUUUCAGAAAUCCAACGCAAAAAGGAAGAUGAAAUUAUGGAAGACUUUAGCUUUGCAUUGGCAGCUGCUGCAUAUUUUAGAUAUGGAUCUACAUUUGUUGUUGAAGCAUAUUUUUCUCGCAAGCAUAUAUAUUCACUUAAGGCUCAAUGUGUGUGUGACCACAAACUAGUAAUUCGUCAUAUGGUAUUGGGGUAUCCCGGUAGUGUUCACGACGCUAGGAUAUACAACAAUUGCGAGCUAUCCACAAACGCCACUGAAAUGCUAACAGGAUCAGAGUGGUUAGCUGCAGACAGUGCAUAUAAAUUAACUUCGACCCUUAUUACUCCUUUUAGAAUAAACGCAACGGAAGGCACCUUGAAUCAACGAAUUCUGUUCAACAGAACGUUCAGCCAGUACCGAAUAAGAAUUGAGCAUUGCUUUGGUUUAUUGAAAGAACGUUUUAAUAGCUUGAAAGAACUCAAAAUUCAAAUAAAGAGUGAUAAUUCGGUAAAGUUUGCAUGCCGGUGGAUAUUAGUUUGUGCGAUAUUGCACAAUAUUAUAUUAAAAGAAAACGACGGUGGUUUUGAUGUUGACGAAGAAAGCAUUAGUGAAAACAGUGAAGUCGACGAGCCUGGGGAUCAAAACUUACCAACAGUUGAAGGUGCAUCUAAGCGCCUUUCAUUGUUAUCACUAAUGGAAACUUAAAAAUAAAGUAUUGAAACUCAUGUUUACAUAUCUUUAAAAUCCAUUAA